rnacentral:rRNA from 1 species
UACGUAGGUGGCAAGCGUUGUCCGGAUUUAUUGGGUUUAAAGGGUGCGUAGGCGGUGACUUAAGUCAGUGGUGAAAUACGGCAGCUCAACUGUCGAGGUGCCAUUGAUACUGGGUUACUUGAGUACUGAUGAGGUAGGCGGAAUGGACGGUGUAGCGGUGAAAUGCUUAGAUAUCGUCCAGAACACCGAUAGCGAAGGCAGCUUACUAAGGAGUAACUGACGCUGAUGCACGAAAGUGUGGGGAUCAAACAGG